rnacentral:misc_RNA from 1 species
UUGCUUGCCUUCGGCAAUGCGGGGUGUGGUUCGUUUGAUAGUGUUGUGUCUUGCGAACGUGAGUGCGUGUGAGUGGUGAUCGGGAUGGCUGUGUUGUUUGGCUCCUUCCUCGUGGUUUUGGAACUUUCAGCAGGCUAUAACCCUUCUCAUGCAUAAAUCAUGCUGUGGGGCCUCGGUGUUCAAUGGUGGUUCCUGUGUUGCCUACCCAUUUAUUGGUAUUCGUGUGCUGCGAAGACCCGUUCCUUCCUCACACCCCGUUGUGGUGGUUGGUGGGGGAUUUCUAAUUUGAUGCGUGUUUUGUGUUAGUCGUGCGUUGUAUCGGCUCUUGUGCCCACACGUGUAUAUUGUUCCCUUGGAUGCGGUGCAUGUGGGACGGUGUUUAUGCCUCGUUUCGUCGCUGUGAUAUAACGGUUGCCUUUGAAUGACACUUUGCCGUAGUGCCAGCCUUGCUAUCCCAUUGGUGGUUGCAAUGCUUGCAUGUCGUGNAUAGUCGUUAACGGANGCUACCUGGUUGAUC